rnacentral:rRNA from 2 species
AAAUUGAAGAGUUUGAUCAUGGCUCAGAUUGAACGCUGGCGGCAGGCCUAACACAUGCAAGUCGAACGGUAACAGGAAUCAGCUUGCUGAUUCGCUGACGAGUGGCGGACGGGUGAGUAAUGUCUGGGAAACUGCCUGAUGGAGGGGGAUAACUACUGGAAACGGUAGCUAAUACCGCAUAACGUCGCAAGACCAAAGAGGGGGACCUUCGGGCCUCUUGCCAUCAGAUGUGCCCAGAUGGGAUUAGCUAGUAGGUGGGGUAACGGCUCACCUAGGCGACGAUCCCUAGCUGGUCUGAGAGGAUGACCAGCCACACUGGAACUGAGACACGGUCCAGACUCCUACGGGAGGCAGCAGUGGGGAAUAUUGCACAAUGGGCGCAAGCCUGAUGCAGCCAUGCCGCGUGUAUGAAGAAGGCCUUCGGGUUGUAAAGUACUUUCAGCGGGGAGGAAGGGAGUAAAGUUAAUACCUUUGCUCAUUGACGUUACCCGCAGAAGAAGCACCGGCUAACUCCGUGCCAGCAGCCGCGGUAAUACGGAGGGUGCAAGCGUUAAUCGGAAUUACUGGGCGUAAAGCGCACGCAGGCGGUUUGUUAAGUCAGAUGUGAAAUCCCCGGGCUCAACCUGGGAACUGCAUCUGAUACUGGCAAGCUUGAGUCUCGUAGAGGGGGGUAGAAUUCCAGGUGUAGCGGUGAAAUGCGUAGAGAUCUGGAGGAAUACCGGUGGCGAAGGCGGCCCCCUGGACGAAGACUGACGCUCAGGUGCGAAAGCGUGGGGAGCAAACAGGAUUAGAUACCCUGGUAGUCCACGCCGUAAACGAUGUCGACUUGGAGGUUGUGCCCUUGAGGCGUGGCUUCCGGAGCUAACGCGUUAAGUCGACCGCCUGGGGAGUACGGCCGCAAGGUUAAAACUCAAAUGAAUUGACGGGGGCCCGCACAAGCGGUGGAGCAUGUGGUUUAAUUCGAUGCAACGCGAAGAACCUUACCUGGUCUUGACAUCCACAGAACUUUCCAGAGAUGGAUUGGUGCCUUCGGGAACUGUGAGACAGGUGCUGCAUGGCUGUCGUCAGCUCGUGUUGUGAAAUGUUGGGUUAAGUCCCGCAACGAGCGCAACCCUUAUCCUUUGUUGCCAGCGGUCCGGCCGGGAACUCAAAGGAGACUGCCAGUGAUAAACUGGAGGAAGGUGGGGAUGACGUCAAGUCAUCAUGGCCCUUACGACCAGGGCUACACACGUGCUACAAUGGCGCAUACAAAGAGAAGCGACCUCGCGAGAGCAAGCGGACCUCAUAAAGUGCGUCGUAGUCCGGAUUGGAGUCUGCAACUCGACUCCAUGAAGUCGGAAUCGCUAGUAAUCGUGGAUCAGAAUGCCACGGUGAAUACGUUCCCGGGCCUUGUACACACCGCCCGUCACACCAUGGGAGUGGGUUGCAAAAGAAGUAGGUAGCUUAACCUUCGGGAGGGCGCUUACCACUUUGUGAUUCAUGACUGGGGUGAAGUCGUAACAAGGUAACCGUAGGGGAACCUGCGGUUGGAUCACCUCCUUA